UACGUAGGGUGCGAGCGUUUGUCCGGAAUUAUUGGGCGUAAAGAGCUCGUAGGCGGUGUGUCGCGUCGGUCGUGAAAACUUGGGGCUUAACCCUGAGCUUGCGGUCGAUACGGGCAUCACUGGAGUUCGGCAGGGGAGACUGGAAUUCCUGGUGUAGCGGUGAAAUGCGCAGAUAUCAGGAGGAACACCGGUGGCGAAGGCGGGUCUCUGGGCCGAUACUGACGCUGAGGAGCGAAAGCGUGGGGAGCGAACAGG
rnacentral:rRNA from 1 species